rnacentral:misc_RNA from 1 species
GUUUAUUAUGGCUGGAGGGGCCACUAGCACCUAAGGCUGUAAAUAAAUCGAAUGAGCUGCUUGCGAGCUAUUUGAGGCUCAGCUAGAUGAAAACUCAGUUCAGCUCGAUUCAUUUUUUGAACGAGUCAAGCUUGAGCCUAAUUUUUAGUUUCAUUUAAUAUGUGAGCCAAGUUUGAUCUUAUUGAUAUUCAACUUGUUAAGCUUUACGAGC